UUUUCGUAGGUGAACCUGCGGAAGGAUCAUUAUUGUAUAACCGAGGUGCGAGGGCUGUCGCUGACCCGACAGGUCGUGCACGCCCGAGUGCCCUCACACACAUCCAUCUCACCCCUAUGUGCACCACCGCGUGGGUCCCCCUUUGGCUUGUUCGGAGGGGGGCUUACGCUUUCACACAAUCUUUGUAUGCAGUGUAGAAUGUAUUUUUUGUUUUUGCGAUCACGCAAUCAAUACAACUUUCAACAACGGAUCUCUUGGCUCUC
rnacentral:misc_RNA from 1 species